GUGCCAGCAGCCGCGGUAAGACGGAGGGGGCAAGCGUUGUCCGGAAUUACUGGGCGUAAAGCGCUCGUAGGCGGUCGCAUACGGCGGUGGUGAAAGCUCCCGGCUCAACUGGGAGAGGCCCGCCGCAACGGUGUGACUCGAGGGUGGUAGAGGCAGAUGGAAUUCCUGGUGUAGCGGUGAAAUGCGUAGAGAUCAGGAGGAACACCCGUGGCGAAGGCGGUCUGCUGGGCCACACCUGACGCUGAGGAGCGAAAGCUAGGGGAGCGAACGGGAUUAGAUACCCCGGUAGUCCUAGCUGUAAACGAUGGAGACUAGGUGUCAGCGGUAUCGACCCCGCUGGUGCCGUAGCUAACGCGUGAAGUCUCCCGCCUGGGGAGUACGGCCGCAAGGUUGAA
rnacentral:rRNA from 1 species